rnacentral:rRNA from 1 species
GAUGAACGCUGGCGGCGUGCCUAAUACAUGCAAGUCGAGCGAACAGACGAUGAGCUUGCUCCUCUGACGUUAGCGGCGGACGGGUGAGUAACACGUGUAUAACCUACCUAUAUUACUGGGAUAACUUCGGGAAGCCGGAGCUAAUACCGGAUAAUAUAUUGAACCGCAUGGUUCAAUAGUGAAAGACGGUUUUGCUGUCACUUAUAGAUGGAUCCGCGCCGCGUUAGCUAGUUGGUAAGGUAACGGCUUACCAAGGCGACGAUGCGUAGCCGACCUGAGAGGGUGAUAGGCGACACUGGAACUGAGACACGGUCAAGACGCCUACGAGAGGCAGCAGUAGCGAAUGUUACGCAAUGGGCGAAAGCCUGACGGAGCAACGCCGAGUGAGUGAUGAAGGUCUUCGGAUCGUAAAACUCUGUUAUUAGGGAAGAACAAAUGUGUAAGUAACUAUGCACGUCUUGACGGUACCUAAUCAGAAAGCUACGGCUAACUACGUG